UACGGAGGGGGCUAGCGUUGUUCGGAAUUACUGGGCGUAAAGCGCACGUAGGCGGCUUUGUAAGUUAGAGGUGAAAGCCCGGGGCUCAACUCCGGAAUUGCCUUUAAGACUGCAUCGCUAGAAUUGUGGAGAGGUAAGUGGAAUUCCGAGUGUAGAGGUGAAAUUCGUAGAUAUUCGGAAGAACACCAGUGGCGAAGGCGACUUACUGGACACAUAUUGACGCUGAGGUGCGAAAGCGUGGGGAGCAAAGCAGGG
rnacentral:rRNA from 1 species